GAGAGCCGUAUACAGCGAGAGUUGUACGUACGGUUCGGGGGAGAGUUCAGGGAAACCUACCGAUAGUAAUAUCGAUAAGGCGUCAGGAGCUUAUCCCAC
rnacentral:ncRNA from 2 species